CCCUCAUGGGUGCUACCAGAGUCCCUCCCCAGCCUGAGACUCCUGAAGCCCCAGACUCAGGGAUUUUCUUUCCACUAAGCUCUGGUCACCCUUGCAUUACUCUCCUGGACACUCGUAGCCUCUCACCUGCGUCACUGACAUCCUCAACGAUGCUGCUGGGUCAGACCUGGGCAGGGGACCCACCCCUCUUCCACUUACUGGCCUCGCGACCCUGGGCAAGUUACUUAAACUCUCUGAGUCUCAGCUUCCUCAGCUGUAAUGUGAGGCUAAUAAUCACAGCCCCUCUCUCCUAGGGCAUUGCAUGAAUUAAAUGAUAGGCUGGGUGUGGUGGCUCAUGCCUGUAAUCCCAGCACUUUGGGAGGCCCCGGUGGGAGGAUCACCUGAGGUCAGGAGUUCCAGACCAGCCUGGCCAACAUAGUGAAACCCCGUCUCUACUAGAAAUACAAAAAUUAGCCAUGCCUGUAGUCCCAGCUACUCCGGAGACUGAGGCAGGAGAACCGCUUGAACCCAGGAGGCGGAGGUUGCAGCGAGCUGAGAUGUGCC
rnacentral:lncRNA from 10 species